rnacentral:misc_RNA from 1 species
GAAAUGCGAUAAGUAAUGUGAAUUGCAGAAUUCAGUGAAUCAUCGAAUCUUUGAACGCACCUUGCGCUCCUUGGUAUUCCUUGGAGCAUGCCUGUUUGAGUAUCAUGAAAUCUUCAAAGUAAAUCUUUUGUUAACUCAAUUGGUUUCUACUUUGGUAUUGGAGGUCUUUGCAGCUUCACACCUGCUCCUCUUUGUUCAUUAGCUGGAUCUCAGUGUUAUGCUUGGUUCCACUCGGCGUGAUAAGUUAUCUAUCGCUGAGGACACUGUAAAAGGUGGCCAAGGUAAAUGCAGAUGAACCGCUUCUAAUAGUCCAUUGACUUGGACAAUACUUUAAUGAUCUGAUCUCAAAUCAGGUAGGACUACCCGCUGAACUUAAGC